rnacentral:rRNA from 1 species
CCUACGGGUGGCAGCAGUGGGGAAUAUUGCGCAAUGGGCGAAAGCCUGACGCAGCGACGCCGCGUGAGGGAUGAAGGUCUUCGGAUCGUAAACCUCUGUCAGCAGGGAAGCACGGUCACUGUGCUAAUCAGCAGUGAAUUGACGGUACCUGCAAAGGAAGCACCGGCUAACUCCGUGCCAGCCGCCGCGGUAAUACGGAGGGUGCGAGCGUUAAUCGGAAUUACUGGGCGUAAAGCGCUCGUAGGCGGUAUGUCAAGUCAAGGGUGAAAUCCCCGGGCUAAACGUGGGAACUGCCUGUGAAACUGGCAAACUGGAGUGUGUGAGAGGAUAGUGGAAUUCCAGGUGUAGGAGGGAAAGCCGUAGAUAGCUGGAGGAACAGCAGUGGCGAAGGCGACUAUCUGGCACAUAACUGACGCUGAGGAGCGAAAGCGUGGGUAGCAAACAGGAUUAGAGACCCGUGUAGUC